rnacentral:rRNA from 1 species
GAUGAACGCUGGCGGCGUGCCUAAUACAUGCAAGUCGAGCGAACGGACGAGAAGCUUGCUUGUCUGACGUUAGCGGCGGACGGGUGAGUAACACGUGGAUAACCUACCUAUAAGACUGGGAUAACUUCGGGAAACCGGAGCUAAUACCGGAUAAUAUCUUGAACCGCAUGGUUCAAUAGUGAAAGACGGUCUUGCUGUCACUUAUAGAUGGAUCCGCGCUGCAUUAGCUAGUUGGUAAGGUAACGGCUUACCAAGGCAACGAUGCAUAGCCGACCUGAGAGGGUGAUCGGCCACACUGGAACUGAGACACGGUCCAGACUCCUACGGGAGGCAGCAGUAGGGAAUCGGCCGCAAAGGGGGAAAGCCUGACGGAGCAACGCGGCGUGAGUGAUGAAGGUCUUCGGAUCGUAAAACUCUGUUAUUAGGGAAGAACAUAUGUGGAAGUAACUGUGCACAGCUUGACGGUACCUAAUCAGAAAGCCACGGCUAACUACGUG